GUGGAAGUUUUGUUCUGAAAACGUUAUUCAAACCCCCCCUUUCUACCGUUUUUCAUACCUUCAAGAAGAACCGCGGCAACCGUCGCGAACUCAUCGGAGGAUAGUGUUCUUCCCUCUCCUCUGAACAUGCGCGCCUUCAUGCCGAAUUGCUCCGCCGUGGAAUCGUCGUAUCUAAAGCAUGGCAGCGAGCACAUAAUUGAAAAUGAUUAAGGAUCUAUGGAGUCUGAAAUUGGUGUUCCUGGUUAAACCUUUCCCAAGUGGGCAACGGAUAUAGCUCUACGACUUGGGGUUGGGGUUCCAUUCAAUUGUGCAAGCAAGAUGAUACUCCUGAUACUGUUCGCUGGAGGAGGAGGGAUCGUGGGAGGUGGUGAUUCCACGGCAUAUAUGAGCGCACAUGGAAGGGGUAGAGGAGGGGAGAUUGAGAGAGAUGUGUCUUCCAUGGCAGCAUCUUUGGAGUCUUGAGGUCCAAGGUUUGUGGUUUAAGUUAAUGUCUUGGCUGCCUGAGUAAUUUAUUCCCUUGGAUUUGAGCCUAAUUGUUCUUCUUGUUUUUGGGUGGUGUAGGAUUUUGUUCUUGUCAUUUUCUAUUUUCCUUUCAUGUAUGUACUCAAGUUGAAAGCUCCUGGGUCAUUUUCACUCGCUUGGCCCAAUUUUCUUAUGUGUAUUUGAUUUUUAUUAUAUGAAAACUCAGUUCAAUUAGUUCUGGUUUUGUGAGAAACGACUAUAAUGACUUAUAUCUAUCUUAUCCCUGCAUUGGCUGGUUGCUUGGGUUUGUAUAUAUUAGUUUGCUUUCUGAAGGGUAAUCCUUUAACAUAAAUGGAAAGACAAACUGUGUGAACUUCGUCAAAGAGUUAAGUGGGAUAUGAACUUCAAAAUUAAGAUGUAACAUAUUUCCUUUACACCACAUACUCUAUUAUUCAUACUCCAUUCAAUUAUUUCUUUUGUGAUUAAUCUCAAGUAGUAAUUGACCUAUGAAGAAAUUAAAAUUCAUUCAGGGAUUUUAUCUUACAACAAUUUUACGAAGUCUUCUGCAUCUAGCUUCUAGCUCUUGGAUCUGUAUGGUUCUCUUUGUCUAGCAUUAUUUAAGCAUUUCACAUAUGUCGAUAGUUACUUACUCUACUAAACUGAGCAUGAAUUUGGCUUCAAGCCAUUCUUCUUCAAUGGUUACUUCACCUUCGUAAGUUCUUUGCUUAUUUUUCUAUUGUCUUAUCAAUCUUGACUCGUAUGCUGAAACUCCUUAUUGUUCAUCUUAUAAAACUUUUUGUUUGAAGAUAAACUUACCUUCUGUUGUAAAACCCCAGUACGUAUGAUUGUUGAUAUUUAGAAAGUUGAAGCUGAUUCAAGAUAGUGAAGGAGAUUUUUGGCCAGUAUACAAGUAUUUUCAGGAAAACUAGUAGAGUAUGAUGAGCCAAUGAACCUGAUGAAGAGAGAAUGUUUGUUGC